GUAGCAAGGGUACUUAAAAAAUCACCCAAUCCGCUACUUGUAGUCCAAUCUGGCAACCUGCGGCUGAGCGUGCCGGCGGCAGACAUGUGGUGGAGGAGUGAGGGUGUGACGCGAGAAAAAGGAAUGCGGGAAGAGGACGAUACAUGCACGCGGGCAAUGGCGUUGAACGGGUCUUCCCGCAGGAAUUUUUCGCCCUGCCAGGGUGUGGCCGAGUUAUCCAGACUACCGGGUUAUCGAGUGCCAAGUUUUUGGGACUCUACUGUAUUAAUAAUACUACAAUAUAAAGCACUUCUAAUCAGUAGUGUACCAAAAUAAACAAGUCUUUAUUGACAGUAAGAUAGACAAACGCUUUUGGUAGCAAUGUACCCUCUUCGGGUUUGCG
rnacentral:lncRNA from 1 species